rnacentral:snoRNA from 2 species
GGUCGAUGAUGUGUUGGCAUGUAUUAUCUGAAUUCUGCUGAUGUGUAAUCACACUUUAGCUCUAGAAUUACGCUGAGACCUU